rnacentral:lncRNA from 10 species
CAAGACUCCAUCUCAAAAAAAAAAAAAGAGGAGAAAGGGUAUUUUAAACAAAACAUCUCCCCUCCCCCAUCCUGAACUAUGAAAUGUAAGAUAAUAACAAUACAACUUUCUUUUAAUGAUCAUAUCUCCACUUGCCAAAUACCAUCCCAUGACCAGCAUAAAUGUCACCUUCUCUCUGGAGCCCCUUGCACUUCCCCAACCACCAGUGACAGCUCAUUUUUGUCCUCUCCUGUGGCCCACAUGGCCCCUCUUUUUGGAACUUAGUUCUCUCUUUUUCUUUUCUUUUCUUUUUUUUUUUUUUGAGGCGGUGUCUCGCUCUGUUGCCUUGCCUGGGCUGGAGUGUAGUGGUGUGAUCUCAGCUCAC